rnacentral:misc_RNA from 1 species
CACAAUAAAAUAUGAAGGCUGUACGCGGCUGUGCUCUCGGGCCAGUUUUGCGGAGGCUGAAUUAUUUAUUACCCUUAUCUUUUGCGCACUUGUUGUUUCCUGGGCGGGUUCGCCCGCCACCAGGACCACAUCAUAAACCUUUUUUAUGCAGUUGCAAUCAGCGUCAGUAUAACAAAUGUAAAUCAUUUA